rnacentral:rRNA from 1 species
AGAGUUUGAUCCUGGCUCAGGAUGAACGCUAGCUACAGGCUUAACACAUGCAAGUCGAGGGGCAUCAGUUUGGUUUGCUUGCAAACCAAAGCUGGCGACCGGCGCACGGGUGAGUAACACGUAUCCAACCUGCCUCAUACUCGGGGAUAGCCUUUCGAAAGAAAGAUUAAUAUCCGAUAGCAUAUAUUUCCCGCAUGGGUUUUAUAUUAAAGAAAUUCGGUAUGAGAUGGGGAUGCGUUCCAUUAGUUUGUUGGCGGGGUAACGGCCCACCAAGACUACGAUGGAUAGGGGUUCUGAGAGGAAGGUCCCCCACAUUGGAACUGAGACACGGUCCAAACUCCUACGGGAGGCAGCAGUGAGGAAUAUUGGUCAAUGGACGCGAGUCUGAACCAGCCAAGUAGCGUGAAGGAUGACUGCCCUAUGGGUUGUAAACUUCUUUUAUAAAGGAAUAAAGUCGGGUAUGUAUACCCGUUUGCAUGUACUUUAUGAAUAAGGAUCGGCUAACUCCGUGCCAGCAGCCGCGGUAAUACGGAGGAUCCGAGCGUUAUCCGGAUUUAUUGGGUUUAAAGGGAGCGUAGGCGGAUUGUUAAGUCAGUUGUGAAAGUUUGCGGCUCAACCGUAAAAUUGCAGUUGAUACUGGCAGUCUUGAGUGCAGUAGAGGUGGGCGGAAUUCGUGGUGUAGCGGUGAAAUGCUUAGAUAUCACGAAGAACUCCGAUUGCGAAGGCAGCUCACUGGAGUGUAACUGACGCUGAUGCUCGAAAGUGUGGGUAUCAAACAGGAUUAGAUACCCUGGUAGUCCACACAGUAAACGAUGAAUACUCGCUGUUUGCGAUAUACAGUAAGCGGCCAAGCGAAAGCGUUAAGUAUUCCACCUGGGGAGUACGCCGGCAACGGUGAAACUCAAAGGAAUUGACGGGGGCCC